AUUGUACGCUGGCGUCAUGCUUUACACAUGCAACUCGAACGGUAACAGGCCGCAAGGUGCUGACGAGUGGCGAACGGGUGAGUAAUUCAUCGGAACGUGCCCAGUCGUGGGGGAUAACUACUCGAAAUAGUAGCUAAUACCGCAUACGAUCUAUGGAUGACAGCGGGGGACCGUAAGGCCUCGCGCGCUUGCAGCGGCCCAUGUCAGAUUAGGUAGGUGGUGGGGUAAAGUCUCACCAAGCCAACGAUCUGUAGCUGGUCUGAGAGGACGACCAGCCACACUGGGGAUGAGACACGGCCCAGGCGCCUACGGGAGGGAGCAGUGGGGAAUUUUGGACAAUGCGCGCAAGCCUGAUCCAGCAAUGCCGCGUGCAGGAAGAAGGCCUUCGGGUUGUAAACUGCUUUUGUACGGAACGAAACGGCUCUGGUUAAUACCCGGGGCUAAUGAGGGUACCGUAAGAAUAGGCACCGGCUAACUACGUG
rnacentral:rRNA from 1 species